UACACCCUGCGGCCCACUGUGCUCGGCUGCCUGCCCGAUACCAUUGUAUCGUGGGAUUUGCUUCGGCAACGUGACGGCAAUGUCAUCCUCUGGUGGCAGACCAGCCUUCUACAGCAGUUCACCAGCCUACAAUACUACAACGGGCACCUGGGCAUGGACCGCUUUUGUGCGGCUCUCAUGGCCAACUGGCAGGAGAACGGCUGUGAUAGCCAGGGGCUUACGCUGACGCAGCUGAGGCAGCGCCUUAGUUCUACAUCGCAGCGGUACCGAUUUCUGCGCGGGCUAGUGGAGGACCUGCCGGAACAGCUUCCGGGCUGGCCCGCAGGAGCCCUCAACGCAUGCGCCUGCUGCGGUGAUGCCGAGGGUUGGCAUGGUACUGGCGCGGGCAGCAGCAGCGGCGGCGGCGGCGGCGGUGCUGCCGGUGGCGCGACCACGGCCGCAGCGCCCCUGGCGGAUCUGGCGCACAGGGCCCGGGGGCAGGAUGGGCCGGUGGCUGAGGCGGCGGCGCCAGACGCACCGAGCGCAGGUGCCGGCAUGGGCAGCAGCAGCGGCGGCGGCGGCGGCGGUGCUGCUGGCGAUGCGACCACGGCCGCCGCGCCUCUGGCGGAUCUGGCGCACAGGGCCCGGGGGCAGGACGGGCCGGUGGCUAAGGCGGCGGCGCCAGGCGCGCCCAGCGCAGGCGCCGGCAUGGGCAGCAGCAGCGGCGGCGGCGGCGGCGGUGCUGCCGGUGGCGCGACCACGGCCGCAGCGCCCCUGGCGGAUCUGGCGCACAGGGCCCGGGGGCAGGAUGGGCCGGUGGCUGAGGCGGCGGCGCCAGACGCACCGAGCGCAGGUGCCGGCAUGGGCAGCAGCAGCGGCGGCGGCGGCGGCGGUGCUGCUGGCGAUGCGACCACGGCCGCCGCGCCUCUGGCGGAUCUGGCGCACAGGGCCCGGGGGCAGGAUGGGCCGGUGGCUAAGGCGGCGGCGCCAGGCGCGCCCAGCGCAGGCGCCGGCAUGGGCAGCAGCAGCGGCGGCGGCGGCGGCGGUGCUGCCGGCGAUGCGACCACGGCCGCCGCGCCUCUGGCGGAUCUGGCGCACAGGGCCCGGGGGCAGGAUGGGCCGGUGGCUGAGGCGGCGGCGCCAGGCGCGCCGAGCGCAGGCGCCGGCAUGGGCAGCAGCAGCGGCGGCGGCGGCGGCGGUGCUGCCGGCGAUGCGACCACGGCCGCCGCGCCUCUGGCGGAUCUGGCGCACAGGGCCCGGGGGCAGGAUGGGCCGGUGGCUGAGGCGGCGGCGCCAGGCGCGCCGAGCGCAGGCGCCGGCAUGGGCAGCAGCAGCGGCGGCGGCGGCGGCGGUGCUGCCGGCAGCGGCGGCGCGAGCCCUUCACUUGGGUUCGCGUGGCGGCCAAUGCUGGCGGCCGCUGAGCCGGCUGGUCGAGGCCCUCCUAUCUUUCAUACUGGCGCGUUCGAUUGCAACUUCAAGCUAAGCCUGUUUAAGAAGAAGGGACUCACCCACAAGUACGGCCUCGACUACCGCCAACUGUCGCGCCGGCGGUACACCCUGGGCAAUGCAUACGUGAGGGGCUUUGAGCCGCCCAAGGGGUCUGCGGACGUAGGUCGCAAUGCGGACUGCUCCAGCUUCACCGCGGACAAGGUGCUGGCCAAGGAGGAGGCCGGGGUAAGAGGCAAGGCCAGGGGUGAGAUCAUAGAUUUGCUUUUCCCGCUACGCCGCUGUGCUGCUAUCCCGUGAUGUUGAGCUUGUCGCUGAAACGCCACGCGACCCUCGCUGCAGAAGCUUGUGACUGCAGCUGGCGUGGUCCUGUGUCGGCAUGGUAUGCUACUUCGCCUCGUCAACCUCUUUCACGGGGAACGUCACAUGUACGCGACGGCGGCGGCGGCGUCCAUCCUGGCUGCGGGAACCGCUGUGCAGUUCUGGUGGUACGAUAUUGCCUGCCGCUGGAGCAAGUCGUGGCAGAAGUGGCACCAAGCUCUGGACCCGUCAACGGCGUGGCUGGGCGUCGCAGCGGCCAUGGUCAGCCUCGUGCCGCCGUUCCACAGCUAUGCCCACAGGUGUGCUUACGGGGAGGGGGCGGGCGUUCGGGGCAUGUAGGUUGCAAAGUACUCUAGCUGCUAUCUUACUCCGCAUCCCUUCAACCAUGUGCCUGCAGCUACGAGUGCCAGAAGACUUUCGGGCACCAAGGGCAAACGGGGGCAGGGCGGGGCACAGGAGAGAUCGUCGAAAUCUUCAACUCGCAGGUCGGGAAGCAGGGCAAGGUGCUGCGUUACACGUCGCCUGCGCACCGUGAGAGUGUUCUGGAGGAUGUGGGGCGCCGCUACUGCCGCCAGGUAAGGCUUUGUCGAGUGUCGAGGGUAGGCAGGCGGCAGGUUAGGCAGGCGCUCAUUCUGUGUGCCGUGAUGUGCAGGUCGAGCUUGGCCUGCCCGCUCGGGUUUACCGCAUGCGGUUGCGGGCCCAGGCAGCACAUGAUGCAGCGCAGGAUCGGAUUGAGACUCUGGAGGCCACGCUGACGCCGCAACAGGUGCGACUGGACUUCCCUGUAGACUCGUGUUACCUUGCUUACGGUUUCCAUGUGCCCAGCAGGUCGAGAUGGCAUGUGCCGGGCAUGCCGCUCAGCGCUCCCAGCAGCGGCAUGACCAGCCCAAACGACACGCCAACGCGGAUGCAGUGGCAGGCGAGCCAGGGUGGAAGGCAGUGUAUGCCCGCUGCCGCCUGGCGCUGAUGAAGCUGCAGCGUCUGGACACGGUAGACAACCCGGCCGACCCCGUGCCUCUCAGGUGCGCAAGCGGUGAAAGCCUUAUCUGCAUGCCUUACUUUCUUGCUUGGAUUGCAGUCGCUGAUGCCAUAUGUUGCGUGGGUGCAGCGUUCUGGUUGCCGGAGGUGACAAUCUGACGCUCCGACAGCGGCCUGCACUCAUCAAGCAGCUGGAGGAAGAGAAGAAGAAGCUGGAGCAGGAGCAUGCGGCGGCUGCUCCGCCACCACGCGAGUGGGAGGCGGACUCUGCUGCAUUCAAGGAGGCUGUCAGUGACCUGGCCGAGAGCGAGAUCAAGAAGAUCACCAGUGAAAUCGAGGUAGAGUGAUUGUGGUUGGGCAUGUGUAAGGCAGUCGGGGUAUAGGGCAGUGCCACGGCAGGCUGACUGUUGCGCUGCGGAAGUGUGCGCGGCGUUCACUAAUUUUGGGCUUCAUUGCAGGGCCUGGUGCUGGACUACAACAGCCUGAAGGUCAUAACGGAGAAGCUGGCGGGGAGGAAGAAGGAGCAGAGGUAUGCCAUCAAGGAGAAGCAGCGCGUGAAGGGGCAGCUUAGACAGCAGUGGGGCCGCUUGGCUGCCUGGUGCCGUGUGGACGCUGCAGGGCAGCAGGGACGGGAGGAGAAGGCACGCAACAAAAAGAUCUUGGAAGGGGGCUUGGCGGCGGUGCUUCGGGGGACGUUUCCAUGGGCCAGCGAUUCUGGGGCUGGAUCCAGCGGAGGGCGAGCAGUCGCUAGCCUUGUGCGCAGCUACAACCAGCGUGCUAGGGCGAAGGAGGAGCUGCGCUUGAUUGAGGCAGAGGUUGAGCGGGGCUGCGCCUACUACGAGCGCCGUGUGAGGAUUCUGAAAGCGGCGCAGGAAACAAGUGCGCCAGGCUUGGGGCUGCUGCUUAAGCCUCACCUUUCCCGCUGCGAGUUGAUGCUGAAAUCAUUUCAGGGACUGCAGCGCGGAGAUGUGCCGGACGACACUAGCCUUUCUGUGGAUACCGAGUAGGGUAGGCAUGCUGUUGUGCGCCGGCUGGCUUUGGUCGAGGUCGGCCGAUGGUGCUGUAAGUCGCAGAAUAGCAUUGAACAAGCAUACAAGUAAUGUUGGCAAGGCCGGCGGGGCCAGGCGGAGUAUUUGAGUUGGGCGGGUGUGCUCAGACAUGUCCGCUAGGGCGGGGGUUCGGGCGUGUCCCAGCCGGCACCCGGUUUGGUCGAGGUCGGCCGAUGGUGCUGUAAAUCGCAGAAUAGCAUUGAACAAGCAUACAAGUAAUGUUGGCAAGGCCGGCGGGGCCAGGCGGAGUAUUUGAGUUGGGCGGGUGUGCUCAGACAUGUCCGCUAGGGCGGGGUUGUGGCGGGUCGAGCUAUGGGCGGCUCCCCAGGGACCUUUUUGCACCGGGCUGGGGAGGGCAGAAAAGACCGAAAGCUCUAGGGGCUGGGGACCUAGGCAUCUCCCCAGGAACAAUUUGUAAUCAACCGCGAUGGCAGCACAGCUCCCCCGGGCCUCAAAAGCGUGCUGCCAUUGCCCGGCUUUCGCUCGCUGCCCAUCGCGCGCCCGGCACUCUCCUUCACUACCACUUGGCACCCCUCGCCAGCCAUAGUAAGCAGCCCCUGUACACAUAUGCACUAUACACUACCCCGCUACACAUGAUAUAGCUCCCCGGCACUAGUGGGGCCACCUCGACCAUGCUUAACAUGUCUGCGGCGACAACAUGAAAGAGUGGAAAGACAUCUACAAAAGUGACACAGUUGAAACCUCAUUAUUUAGGCGCAGUCGUGGUGGACGCAGGGGUGGCAUUGCAGCGGGCACUGGCGGCCGCCGUGGACGCAGCGAAGCGCAGCUAAGUGUAGGUGGUCAUUACACCGUCCACGAUCAUAAUGGUGUUGUAGAACAGGACGACGAGGAAGGAGCAGCCUACGUUCAACAUGCGGCGCCUCACACGCUCCCCGACGUUGAUAGCGACACCCUCAGCUCAGACCCCGCAGACAGCUCAGACGACGAUGGUGAGGGGGCCGGAGGCGCUGAGCCGAGGGGGCAGGAGACAAAAUAUCCGCUGCCAUACGAUAGCAGCGCUGUCGUGGAAGACUUCUUCCGCAGCGUCACAGCGGCUGAUAAGGUGUGCAGCGAACUGCGCACCGCGACCCAGAAGGUGCUGCAGUGCAGUGCGGACUUCGAGGCUGCCAGCACGGCGUGCCCUGUGUGUGGCAAGCCCGGAGAUCCCAAGGGCAUGCCCCCUUUCAAAGUCACAGUAGUGACCUGGGACCAGCCCGUGAGCAUUGAUGUGCCACACGUGACCUGCAGCAGCUGCAUGCGUGGGUACACCCUGCGGCCCACUGUGCUCGGCUGCCUGCCCGAUACCAUUGUAUCGUGGGAUUUGCUUCGGCAACGUGACGGCAAUGUCAUCCUCUGGUGGCAGACCAGCCUUCUACAGCAGUUCACCAGCCUACAAUACUACAACGGGCACCUGGGCAUGGACCGCUUUUGUGCGGCUCUCAUGGCCAACUGGCAGGAGAACGGCUGUGAUAGCCAGGGGCUUACGCUGACGCAGCUGAGGCAGCGCCUUAGUUCUACAUCGCAGCGGUACCGAUUUCUGCGCGGGCUAGUGGAGGACCUGCCGGAACAGCUUCCGGGCUGGCCCGCAGGAGCCCUCAACGCAUGCGCCUGCUGCGGUGAUGCCGAGGGUUGGCAUGGUACUGGCGCGGGCAGCAGCAGCGGCGGCGGCGGCGGCGGUGCUGCCGGUGGCGCGACCACGGCCGCAGCGCCCCUGGCGGAUCUGGCGCACAGGGCCCGGGGGCAGGAUGGGCCGGUGGCUGAGGCGGCGGCGCCAGACGCACCGAGCGCAGGUGCCGGCAUGGGCAGCAGCAGCGGCGGCGGCGGCGGCGGUGCUGCUGGCGAUGCGACCACGGCCGCCGCGCCUCUGGCGGAUCUGGCGCACAGGGCCCGGGGGCAGGACGGGCCGGUGGCUAAGGCGGCGGCGCCAGGCGCGCCCAGCGCAGGCGCCGGCAUGGGCAGCAGCAGCGGCGGCGGCGGCGGCGGUGCUGCCGGUGGCGCGACCACGGCCGCAGCGCCCCUGGCGGAUCUGGCGCACAGGGCCCGGGGGCAGGAUGGGCCGGUGGCUGAGGCGGCGGCGCCAGACGCACCGAGCGCAGGUGCCGGCAUGGGCAGCAGCAGCGGCGGCGGCGGCGGCGGUGCUGCUGGCGAUGCGACCACGGCCGCCGCGCCUCUGGCGGAUCUGGCGCACAGGGCCCGGGGGCAGGAUGGGCCGGUGGCUAAGGCGGCGGCGCCAGGCGCGCCCAGCGCAGGCGCCGGCAUGGGCAGCAGCAGCGGCGGCGGCGGCGGCGGUGCUGCCGGCGAUGCGACCACGGCCGCCGCGCCUCUGGCGGAUCUGGCGCACAGGGCCCGGGGGCAGGAUGGGCCGGUGGCUGAGGCGGCGGCGCCAGGCGCGCCGAGCGCAGGCGCCGGCAUGGGCAGCAGCAGCGGCGGCGGCGGCGGCGGUGCUGCCGGCGAUGCGACCACGGCCGCCGCGCCUCUGGCGGAUCUGGCGCACAGGGCCCGGGGGCAGGAUGGGCCGGUGGCUGAGGCGGCGGCGCCAGGCGCGCCGAGCGCAGGCGCCGGCAUGGGCAGCAGCAGCGGCGGCGGCGGCGGCGGUGCUGCCGGCAGCGGCGGCGCGAGCCCUUCACUUGGGUUCGCGUGGCGGCCAAUGCUGGCGGCCGCUGAGCCGGCUGGUCGAGGCCCUCCUAUCUUUCAUACUGGCGCGUUCGAUUGCAACUUCAAGCUAAGCCUGUUUAAGAAGAAGGGACUCACCCACAAGUACGGCCUCGACUACCGCCAACUGUCGCGCCGGCGGUACACCCUGGGCAAUGCAUACGUGAGGGGCUUUGAGCCGCCCAAGGGGUCUGCGGACGUAGGUCGCAAUGCGGACUGCUCCAGCUUCACCGCGGACAAGGUGCUGGCCAAGGAGGAGGCCGGGGUAAGAGGCAAGGCCAGGGGUGAGAUCAUAGAUUUGCUUUUCCCGCUACGCCGCUGUGCUGCUAUCCCGUGAUGUUGAGCUUGUCGCUGAAACGCCACGCGACCCUCGCUGCAGAAGCUUGUGACUGCAGCUGGCGUGGUCCUGUGUCGGCAUGGUAUGCUACUUCGCCUCGUCAACCUCUUUCACGGGGAACGUCACAUGUACGCGACGGCGGCGGCGGCGUCCAUCCUGGCUGCGGGAACCGCUGUGCAGUUCUGGUGGUACGAUAUUGCCUGCCGCUGGAGCAAGUCGUGGCAGAAGUGGCACCAAGCUCUGGACCCGUCAACGGCGUGGCUGGGCGUCGCAGCGGCCAUGGUCAGCCUCGUGCCGCCGUUCCACAGCUAUGCCCACAGGUGUGCUUACGGGGAGGGGGCGGGCGUUCGGGGCAUGUAGGUUGCAAAGUACUCUAGCUGCUAUCUUACUCCGCAUCCCUUCAACCAUGUGCCUGCAGCUACGAGUGCCAGAAGACUUUCGGGCACCAAGGGCAAACGGGGGCAGGGCGGGGCACAGGAGAGAUCGUCGAAAUCUUCAACUCGCAGGUCGGGAAGCAGGGCAAGGUGCUGCGUUACACGUCGCCUGCGCACCGUGAGAGUGUUCUGGAGGAUGUGGGGCGCCGCUACUGCCGCCAGGUAAGGCUUUGUCGAGUGUCGAGGGUAGGCAGGCGGCAGGUUAGGCAGGCGCUCAUUCUGUGUGCCGUGAUGUGCAGGUCGAGCUUGGCCUGCCCGCUCGGGUUUACCGCAUGCGGUUGCGGGCCCAGGCAGCACAUGAUGCAGCGCAGGAUCGGAUUGAGACUCUGGAGGCCACGCUGACGCCGCAACAGGUGCGACUGGACUUCCCUGUAGACUCGUGUUACCUUGCUUACGGUUUCCAUGUGCCCAGCAGGUCGAGAUGGCAUGUGCCGGGCAUGCCGCUCAGCGCUCCCAGCAGCGGCAUGACCAGCCCAAACGACACGCCAACGCGGAUGCAGUGGCAGGCGAGCCAGGGUGGAAGGCAGUGUAUGCCCGCUGCCGCCUGGCGCUGAUGAAGCUGCAGCGUCUGGACACGGUAGACAACCCGGCCGACCCCGUGCCUCUCAGGUGCGCAAGCGGUGAAAGCCUUAUCUGCAUGCCUUACUUUCUUGCUUGGAUUGCAGUCGCUGAUGCCAUAUGUUGCGUGGGUGCAGCGUUCUGGUUGCCGGAGGUGACAAUCUGACGCUCCGACAGCGGCCUGCACUCAUCAAGCAGCUGGAGGAAGAGAAGAAGAAGCUGGAGCAGGAGCAUGCGGCGGCUGCUCCGCCACCACGCGAGUGGGAGGCGGACUCUGCUGCAUUCAAGGAGGCUGUCAGUGACCUGGCCGAGAGCGAGAUCAAGAAGAUCACCAGUGAAAUCGAGGUAGAGUGAUUGUGGUUGGGCAUGUGUAAGGCAGUCGGGGUAUAGGGCAGUGCCACGGCAGGCUGACUGUUGCGCUGCGGAAGUGUGCGCGGCGUUCACUAAUUUUGGGCUUCAUUGCAGGGCCUGGUGCUGGACUACAACAGCCUGAAGGUCAUAACGGAGAAGCUGGCGGGGAGGAAGAAGGAGCAGAGGUAUGCCAUCAAGGAGAAGCAGCGCGUGAAGGGGCAGCUUAGACAGCAGUGGGGCCGCUUGGCUGCCUGGUGCCGUGUGGACGCUGCAGGGCAGCAGGGACGGGAGGAGAAGGCACGCAACAAAAAGAUCUUGGAAGGGGGCUUGGCGGCGGUGCUUCGGGGGACGUUUCCAUGGGCCAGCGAUUCUGGGGCUGGAUCCAGCGGAGGGCGAGCAGUCGCUAGCCUUGUGCGCAGCUACAACCAGCGUGCUAGGGCGAAGGAGGAGCUGCGCUUGAUUGAGGCAGAGGUUGAGCGGGGCUGCGCCUACUACGAGCGCCGUGUGAGGAUUCUGAAAGCGGCGCAGGAAACAAGUGCGCCAGGCUUGGGGCUGCUGCUUAAGCCUCACCUUUCCCGCUGCGAGUUGAUGCUGAAAUCAUUUCAGGGACUGCAGCGCGGAGAUGUGCCGGACGACACUAGCCUUUCUGUGGAUACCGAGUAGGGUAGGCAUGCUGUUGUGCGCCGGCUGGCUUUGGUCGAGGUCGGCCGAUGGUGCUGUAAGUCGCAGAAUAGCAUUGAACAAGCAUACAAGUAAUGUUGGCAAGGCCGGCGGGGCCAGGCGGAGUAUUUGAGUUGGGCGGGUGUGCUCAGACAUGUCCGCUAGGGCGGGGGUUCGGGCGUGUCCCAGCCGGCACCCGGUUUGGUCGAGGUCGGCCGAUGGUGCUGUAAAUCGCAGAAUAGCAUUGAACAAGCAUACAAGUAAUGUUGGCAAGGCCGGCGGGGCCAGGCGGAGUAUUUGAGUUGGGCGGGUGUGCUCAGACAUGUCCGCUAGGGCGGGGUUGUGGCGGGUCCCAGCCGGCACCCGGUUUGGUCGAGGUCGGCCGAUGGUGCUGUAAAUCGCAGAAUAGCAUUGAACAAGCAUACAAGUAAUGUUGGCAAGGCCGGCGGGGCCAGGCGGAGUAUUUGAGUUGGGCGGGUGUGCUCAGACAUGUCCGCUAGGGCGGGGUUGUGGCGGGUCCCAGCCGGCACCCGGUUUGGUCGAGGUCGGCCGAUGGUGCUGUAAAUCGCAGAAUAGCAUUGAAGCUACGUCUGGCUACGUCUAUGCGCCGCGGCUAGGCUUCCGCGGCGCGCCCCAAACACAACUCAGCGGCGUUGGCGCAUGAUGCUAACUGCAGUCACCUGGCUACGUCUUCGCGCCGCGGCUAGGCUUCCGCCCCAAACACAACUCAGCGGCGUUGGCGCCUGAUGCUAACUGCAGUCACCUGGCUACGUCUUCGCGCCGCGGCUAGGUCUCCGCGGCGCGCCCCAAACACAACUCAGCGGCCUUGGCGCAUGAUGCUAACUGCAGUCACCUGGCUACGUCUAUGCGCCGCGGCUAGGCUUCCGCGGCGCGCCCCAAACACAACUCAGCGGCGUUGGCGCAUGAUGCUAACUGCAGUCACCUGGCUACGUCUAUGCGCCGCGGCUAGGCUUCCGCCCCAAACACAACUCAGCGGCGUUGGCGCAUGAUGCUAACUGCAAUCACCUGGCUACGUCUUCGCGCCGCGGCUAGGUCUCCGCGGCGCGCCCCAAACACAACUCAGCGGCGUUGGCGCAUGAUGCUAACUGCAAUCACCUGGCUACGUCUUCGCGCCGCGGCUAGGUCUCCGCGGCGCGCCCCAAACACAACUCAGCGGCGUUGGCGCAUGAUGCUAACUGCAAUCACCUGGCUACGUCUAUGCGCCGCGGCUAGGUCUCCGCGGCGCGCCCCAAACACAACUCAGCGGCGUUGGCGCAUGAUGCUAACUGCAAUCACCUGGCUACGUCUAUGCGCCGCGGCUAGGUCUCCGCGGCGCGCCCCAAACACAACUCAGCGGCGUUGGCGCAUGAUGCUAACUGCAAUCACCUGGCUACGUCUAUGCGCCGCGGCUAGGUCUCCGCGGCGCGCCCCAAACACAACUCAGCGGCGUUGGCGCAUGAUGCUAACUGCAAUCACCUGGCUACGUCUAUGCGCCGCGGCUAGGUCUCCGCGGCGCGCCCCAAACACAACUCAGCGGCGUUGGCGCAUGAUGCUAACUGCAAUCACCUGGCUACGUCUAUGCGCCGCGGCUAGGUCUCCGCGGCGCGCCCCAAACACAACUCAGCGGCGUUGGCGCAUGAUGCUAACUGCAAUCACCUGGCUACGUCUAUGCGCCGCGGCUAGGUCUCCGCGGCGCGCCCCAAACACAACUCAACGGCGUUGGCNNNNNNNNNNNNNNNNNNNNNNNNNNNNNNNNNNNNNNNNNNNNNNNNNNNNNNNNNNNNNNNNNNNNNNNNNNNNNNNNNNNNNNNNNNNNNNNNNNNNCAGUACUAUUAAGACUGUAAGACGUGCGGCGACUUCUAUGAUGAGAACGGCCCCGCUUACGCCUUGUGCUCGGCCGCAUAGUCCGGGCAUUGCUUGCAGGCGAGGCUGAUGAGCGCGUCGUUGACCGUGUUGGUCGCCGAGUAGCAGUCCUUGGACCACUGGAUCAGGGCAAUGGACGUCGGCCAGUCCAGGGCCUCGCGGAACAGCCGGCAGCUGCCACCGCACUUGCACUCUCCCUCCGACCCCACCGCCCAGAGCUUGUACUCCUUGCCUGCUGGGCGCGCCCCACCAUUGCACAGCCCAUCCGUCCAGCAUGCCCAGCCCUGUGGCGACCCAGCCUGGCCCUCCUGCGCCCCCGCACCACCGUCAUCCCCUCCUGAUGCUGCGGCGCCCUGCUCCACCGCGGCCGCUGUGUCCCGCCCUGUCACUGCUGCCGUGCCCUGCUCUGCAGCCCCCUCGUCCCCCCCGGAGGCAACGAGUACCACUGCACCGCUUGCCACCAGCUCCUGCAGCACACGGCGCGAGAGCACCGACUCCAGAGCAGCCCAGGCCUGCCGGCCCCACCGGCGCUUGAAGUCUGAUGGUGCCUCCAGGGUCCUUAUCCGCCGGCCGUUCUUCUUGGGCACAAUCAGCACCUGUUGUGGAGCCAUCACUUCUUGCAGCGCGUUUGCCUGCGGGGUAACAAACGCAGUAGGACUUGAGUCUUUGGGAUAUGCCGUUGGGGUAUGAACUGGGGACACGGGCGGCCAUACCAAACUACCAGGUGCUGCACAUACUGUGCACACCCUUUGGACGUGCACCAACCCAAAGACACGGCAAUAAUGAAUGUGUGACCCCUCCUAACGACGUCGAUGACACGAAAGCGUGCCAUACAGUACCGUAACACACCUGCCGCACGAACUGCGCCAAUAUCUUCCGUCCCGUGGCGUUCUUCAGGUAGCCACCAUACGCCACAAAUGGGUGCGGGUUGGAGGGAAGGGACACCAGGAGCGCAAAGCCAGCAAGCCGCUUCAUCCGCAGGCCCUUGACCCCCCGAGCGGCAUACGCCUCGACCAUGCCGUUGAGGUUGGCUUCGGCGCGCUGAACCCUCCCCCGAGCUCCGCGGUGUAGCUUCCGCAUUUCCUGUUCCGACACAUGAUGUGAACGAAAGCGUUUAGCUGCGUAACAUGGAGCCAAGCAGGGGGGGCAAUUCAAAAUUUACCUUUCCAUCCUCCUCGCUAGACACGUCGCUAGACUCCUCGCCAGACUGCUCAAGAUCCUCCUCAAGCUCGUCACUAGUCUGAGUGUCAUCAGCAGGCGCCGUUCCUGUCUGGCGCGUAACUGUCUUUGCACUGAGCAUGACGGGCAACGCGGGCGGCCCCCACUAGUGCCGGGGAGCUAUAUCAUGUGUAGCGGGGUAGUGUAUAGUGCAUAUGUGUACAGGGGCUGCUUACUAUGGCUGGCGAGGGGUGCCAAGUGGUAGUGAAGGAGAGUGCCGGGCGCGCGAUGGGCAGCGAGCGAAAGCCGGGCAAUGGCAGCACGCUUUUGAGGCCCGGGGGAGCUGUGCUGCCAUCGCGGUUGAUUACAAAUUGUUCCUGGGGAGAUGCCUAGGUCCCCAGCCCCUAGAGCUUUCGGUCUUUUCUGCCCUCCCCAGCCCGGUGCAAAAAGGUCCCUGGGGAGCCGCCCAUAGCUCCUCAGGUGCGUCGGUUAGCCCAGGUUAUCUGCUUGUUCAUAUAAUUUAAUCAAUCACGUUGUAUUGCUUCAUAUCCCCAAGCUUAGCGUGGUUGUGUUUUGUGUGCCGACGAGCGAAUGCCAGAAGAUGGGGCGCGCCCAAUGAGGCCCCGGUUAAUGAGCGCCUUCCGUCCGUUGUAUUGUGGGUCGCAUAAACAACAAGUAAUAAAGUAGUAUAGUUGGACGCAAAGCGAGGUGGUGUAAAGCCGGGGUUGCUUUCUGCGACCUGGCCGGGGAGCGAGGGGUGACACGCUCUAGAGCCGUUCAUGCACCUGAGGUUUGAUGCUAGUAGGAGAAAGUUGCCGCUAAAUGCCUAAAAAUUCCCGACUGGCAAGAGGUCCAACUGGCGUGCAUGACCAGCCCCCACGUUUCCUACGCACAUGGCAUUGCCAUGGCCUUGUGCUGUCCGACCAGGACUCAGGCACUGACCGGCAGCAGCGAAUGUUCAACUUGCAAUUACAACUUUGCCAAACAUGGCUUGCGUCGCACCUCCUCUCAAAUCCUCUCCAUCCAAAUGCGUGCACCCCUAGCUACCCGGCCAGCUAGCACAUCCUGCCUUACGCCACUUGCCCCGCGCACGUUCUCGUACAAUAUGCUGGUGUGUUGCGACCUCCGGACGCUGGAAUCCGCCUGUCCCCAAACGCCAGCUAGGUUGCUCGUCAGGCUGGUGCACGUUGCGUAUGCAGUAUCGCAGGGCGUGUGCCUGAUGUACAGCCAACACAACCGUUUGUACACACGCGCACACGAACACACGCACACGCACAGGAGGUAGGCACACCCUGAUCAGCAACUGCGCCAGUGUCGCUAGCCGCCACCAAAGCGCCGCGUACAUAGCGUCACUUCCUUAACUUGGUCCCUCGCGGCGUGGGUAUGGCGUGCCCCCGCUUGUCGGGCUGUCCCUUCACUUGUGAUCCGCAUCCUUAAGUUGGUUCCAGGACACGCAACUGGGCGGCGGUGCCUACACCACAUCUAACCAGACACUGCACGCACUCUCAAUGUGACAACACGCCAUGAUGUGCACGAGCCCCGACAACACGCAAUCUUACUUCUGCAGUAUCCCGCCUCCUGCUAUCUGCCAAAAUGGAUCUCCGACACGUACAGCUCUGUUGCAUAUCUGGGUGCGGGCUUGCUGGCUUCUAUUGCAUGCAACAUGUACGGAACGUGGGUUGUGACACACCCGCUGCAUCCAAUGCAGCAUAAACAGCAAACAGGACGCACUCCAUGCGUUACACGCAGGUUGGGCUACCUGCUGCAGGCGUCCACGCUUUGACAUUUAAACAACCUAUAUCUCACUUGUCGCCUUCAAACACCAUCAGUACAUGCGCAACACAACGGUUGCAUGUGCGGCACAUUCGAACGCCACGGCGCUAGCUGUUCCAUACAUGUGCAAAUCCACGCACUAUCACGCACACGCACACCUAUGGCAGUACGAAGUUCACUGCCUCCUCACCUGCUCCGUCCCCUGCAAAUGCACCUCAAGCCACGGGGAUCUCCCGCACCUUGGGCACCGGCUGGGCUUUCUUCGGAAUGGUAACCGUCAGCACGCCGUGCUGUGUGGCCGCCUUGAUGCCCUCCGGCUCCACACCACCCACCGGCAGCCGCAGCGCCCGCACGAAGGAGCUGUAGCGGCUGUAGCUGCUGCUGCCGGUGCUGGGAGCGCCCGAAGGGCGCUUGGAGGUGCCGGGAAUGCCCUGGGGCGUCGGCACGGUCUGCUGCUGCUCGGCGGCGGGGGCCUCGGAGCCGGAGGCGGCGGAUGGCUGGGGCUGUGUGGGGGCGGUCUCAGAGGACUCGGCGUGGGUGCCGGUCAUGGUGAGCACGCCGUCGUCGGACAGGGACACCUGUGGGGGCAUCGUACGGCAGUGGGGGGCAGUGGGGAGCAGUAGGGGGGCAGCAGGGGUUCAUCAGGUGCGGUGUGUGCGUGGGAGUAUGGGAGCCGAAGACAGGCAGAGCGGUGGCAGGAGUGUGGAAGGCUGGCACAAGGCGUACGGCACAGGCGCUCGAGGCUGCACACGCACACAGCACGCAGCUGCUCCCCCCCCCACCCGCCGGACGAGCCCUGCCCCCUUACCCCUGGGCUCCCAGGAGCGUGCAUAGCCAACAAGAACAACACGGCCACACCCACCUUGAUCUCGUUCUUAUCGAAACCCGGCACCUCCGCAGUCACCACGUACUCGCUCUCCCGCUCCUCCACCUCCACCACCGGCACCAGCCGCCCGCCUCCCAGAAGCCGUGCCGCCAGCCCGCCACCGCCGGCUGUAGCAGCCAGUGAAGGGGCGCCGCCGCCGCGACGGGAGAGGGGCUGUAGCGGCAGGGCGGUGGCGGUGGGCUCGGCGAAGAGGUCGAGCAUGAAUGGGUCGGUGGGGGACAGGGCGGCGGAGGGGCCCAGCAGGGGCGCGGCGAAGGUGCACAGCAUGUCGUCCAUCUCGCGCUGCAUCUGUGGGUGUGUGUGUCAGGAAAAUGGAAAGGGAGACGUUAGGUCGACACCUUGCGUGCAGAAUGCGCAAGCAAGCAGUGCGCCGCAAGCGCGUGCAUGUGUGCGUGUGUCUGUGUGUGCGUGUGUGUGUGCGCGUGCGUGAUGGUUUCAUGUGUGCAAUCGAUGUGUGGGGUGUGUGGGUUUGUGCCAAGUGCGUGCGCGAUGUGGCUGUGACCCUGUGCCAUACAACGGUGGGAUUGAGUUCGGGCCGGGUCAAGCAACGCCAUGCACAUCACACAAAUGAAACAUGACGCGCCCACCACGCAGGCACGCCCACACCCAGCAGCCACGCACCUGCAUCAUGUGAUCCGCCAUGCGCCUGUGGGAGAAGAGGUGCGAGAGAGGCACGGGGCGUCAAGCAGAGCAGCAGCGGCCAGCGGGUGCACCGCGUAAUUGGGUAGUUGGCAAGCGCUGGCUUGCGCCAACGUUAGUUUGGCUAUAUGUGUGGCACACGCUGCACAUGCGGACAAACCUAGUCCAUGCUGCUGCCCUACCUUGCACCACCGACACAAACGUAACCGCCCCACCUCGCCCCACACGUAGCUACCUGAAGGGUGACGGCAGCAGCGUGCCGCUCAGCAUGUCCAGCUCCCCACCGCGGCCGCCCAUCGCGGGUGCCAUGGCUGUCUGCUGCUGCUGCUGCUGCUGCUGCUGCGACUGCUGCUGUGCCUCAGUGCCGGCUCCGCCGCCGCCGCUGCCAACACCGGUAGCAGCAGUCGCGGCCUGCUGCUCAUCCUUGCCAGUGGCGCCGGUCCGGGUGAAGAUGCCGCGGCGCAGCUGCGGCGCCGCCAGCAGUGCGGCGCCGCGGGCGCGCAGGGCAGUAGCAGCAGCAGAGGUAGCGGCAGUAGCAGGCGCGGCACAACUGCCGGCGCGGCGGCUCGCCGCCGGCGCCUGGCCGCGCACUGCCGCUGCGGUCGCGACGGUGCGCAGGAGCAUGGCGGUUGUGCGCUGGUGGGGGAGGUUCUGAGGCGCGGAGGCUGAGGCGCUGGUGGAGGCGAGGGAUCGCGGAAGCGUGCGAGCGAGGCUGGCUGUGCAGCGGGCUAGCAUCAGUAGGGCUGAGCGUGCGUGCGAGAGCGGCGUGGGGCGGCGGCAGCAACGCCGCGCGGCGUCUGUGUACUAGUGAGAGAGGCGAAAGGCCUUAAGGACUGGCUUGGGUGUGUAAAGACUGCUUCGCUUAAUAUGAGCUUAGUGAGAGGCCUUGAGGACUGGCUUGGGUGAGGCGUAUGAGCUUGGGUGAAGUGUAUGAGCUUGCUUUGAGCUUGCUUUGAUGCCAAAAGCUGCUGCCGACAGAGCGCUUUUUGUGGCGGGGCAGAAACUACGAGAGGCGUCGUCACUCGGAAGGCGCUGACUAGGCCGCGGCUUCUAGAACCUUGGCGCCCCGCGGCACAGCCUCUGGCGGUGCCUGCCCUCUGCACACACACACGCUCGGGAUGUCGGAUUACUGUCGGGUGGCGGUUUCGGCCCCGCCUGCGAUGCUCGCUACCGGGACUCCGGCAACCAACCCGCUGCACACCACGCACAGCAGCCGGCCCGACCCGCCCUUCUGCCCCCCACCCUCGGCCCUUGCUGUGACCCCGCGACCCCUGCCGCAGCCCGCAAUUCCGCGUGCGGUCCCAUCAUGCGGCGAGGACGGGACGUUCAGGAGUGGCCGGGACGAGUGGCGUGGUCAGUCCGUGGGUGGGUCGGGGUAAUGGGAUGGGCGCUAGUGUGGCGGACCUGGACAGUGCUAUGACGCAGCAGCCAGCCAGGGGGGGGGUGGCGCGUCCCCCGCCCCUGCCGACCGCCCAGACAAAACGACCCGCAGCGCUCGAUCCCGUUGCCGCCGCGAUGCAACACGACCCAUCACCACAAACACCGCCAUCACCGCCAGCCGCCGCAUCGCAGCCGAGUCCACCUUCCCUUGCGAGGACAUUGUGGUUUGCGCUUGCCGUCGCAAGCGGGCUCGCCUUCGGGUUGCGCUUGUUCGAAAGCCGCCUUGUAGGCAGCACUAGCAGCGGCGGCGGUGGUGGUCAAGGCGAAAUGGCGCUUGCGCUGGUCCCAGGCCGGCUCAGGUGUGUGCGCGAGUCUUCUGCCGCCUGACGGUUCUGCUUUGUGAUUCAAACAAUGCCAGCAUAUCAACUCCUUGUGCAGCUUGAAUGAAGCCAUUUUGAAAUGAACACAAACUGCCCGCGGCAUUCAACAGCGGCCUGACAACAGCCGGGACGCUCGCAAGCCUGGCGUGUCGGCACGCCGGACUGCUCUGCACCCGCGUUGGCGGCAGUAGCAGUAGCAGUGGCAGCAGCCGUAGCGGUGACGGCGGCUCACACAAUGGCGGCGGUAGCCGUGACAGCAGUAGCAGCAGUGACACCAGUAGCAGUGGCGGCGGCAAUGCGGGUGGUGGGGGUGAGGCGGCCAGCGGUCGUACGUGUGAGCGGCCGGAGGCGGCUCGGCGGGACGUGUCAGUGGACCGACUGACGGCAUUGGAGUCUGAGGUACUUGCGCUGCGCAAGGCCCUGUCCGCGCUGCAGCAGCAGCAGCAGGGGCAGGGGCAGCAGCAGCAGGGGCAGCAGCAGCAGGGGCAGAGACAACAUGGAAAGGGACACCAGGGGCAGGAGCAGCAGGGGGAGCAGGGGGAGCAGGAGCGUCAGGGGCAGCAACAGCGGCAGCAGCAGCAAGAGCAACGGGGUAAGAUGCGGUAUCAGGAGGAGCAUGCACAUGGGGCAAGCGGUGGGGCCGCAGGCGGCAAUGGUGGUGACAGCGAUGAGGGGGCGAUGUCUAAGGCGGCGUCGGCGGCGGCGGCCGGCGAUGGCGCGGGCGCCACGGAGGCGGUGGCGGAGGGCUUGGGGAAGCUGCACCCGCGCAUCACCCGACUGGUGCAAUCAGGUGCGUAUAUGCAUUGCGUGUGUGUGUGUGUGUGUGUGUGUGUGCGCGUGUGCGUGUGGGCUGCUAGAUUUCGUCGGACGCAUCACCUAGCCGCAUCCUUGCCACGCACCUUCAUCCAGUUGCCAUGCACAACCCACGCCACCCAAAAUCCCCAGGCUACCUGGAGUCUAUGCACCACCUGCGUCAGCGGCUCAUGGUGGACGAGUGGGAGGGCGGCGGCCGCCAGCGGGCGGGUCGCAGGGGCGUGGCGGACUUUGAGGCGCAGCUGGCGGCGGGCGAGCACGACGGCGGCGGCGAUGGCGGUGGCGGUGGUGGCGGUGGCGGUGGUGGACAGGGAGGCGGAGGUGGAGGGGAGGAGGGGGCACCGGGCCAGGGGGGCGGCGGCCGGUCGGCACCGCCGCUCUCCUGGGAGCAGCUGACGCAGCUGUACGAGGUGCGUAUGUAUGCGUGUGUGUGUGUGUGUGUGUGUGUGUGUGUGUGUGUGUGUGUGUGUGUGUUUGUGUGUAUUUGUGUGGGCGCCGCUGGGGCUUGUGGGUCGCCUGGUGUGCACGCGCCUUUCAAGUUCGCCGUCAAUGGUGCGUACCGCACAGCCGCCUCCCACAUCUCCACAUGCUUCCACACGCUUCCCGCGCAUUCCCCUCCUGCCCUCCUGCCCCGCUCCCGCCCCCAUCAGGCCCCUGACCCGGUGAAGGCGCUGGAGGCAGUCAUCCCUGACCCGCGGCUGCGCAUGGCGGCGAGGGCCACCCUGCACCGCGUGCUAGAUGAGAGGCACGAGAAGGUGGGGCGCGGGAGGAAGGCGGGGGGCUGUGGUCCAUCCGCUUGGCUGCGAGGCAUCGGGGUUUGCGACAGCUUGAUGUAGCUUCGGCGCCAAAGUGGCGGUGGGACGAAAGAGAGAACGCUGCCCGACACCCUACCUUCUGCCCCGCUGCUCCGCUUCCUCCCCGCUGCACCCCCAGGUGCACGACGGCGCCACGGCCCUGGCCAAGGAGCUUGCGGACAGCGUGGCGCGCGGCCCGGGCGACCUGCUGGGCGGCCUGGUCAAACUGCUGCCGCUGCCGUCCUUCCUCCAACCCAAGUAGAGCGGGGCUGGUGCCGGUAGGGCCGGUUGGGCCGGUAGGGCCGGCAGGGCCAGUAGGGCCGGCAGGGGGAUGCUCUGGUGAUGGUGCUCGGCUGCUAGUAGAGGGCCAGGGGCAUUGGGGGUCCAUGCAUGGCCGGCAAUCCGGCAUGAUGCCAGCCUGAAUGUCCUGGUGUAUGGCAGGGUGUGGUAGAGUGUCCGGCAAGCUGCGAGCAGGGGAGGUACGAGAACUACCCUACGGCGACAGAGAAGGCAGUAUGGGCACAGCAAGUACAGUACAAGUGGAUGUAAGGGACUGCAGUGCUGAGACGCGGGGGCAGACCGCGCUGCGGCAGGUGACCGGGCAUGGCACGGCACGUGCCAGUGCGGCUGCCUGCAGGACGGGCUCGCCGCGUUCGUACUGCGGGUUGCAUGCGCCUCCGUUUGCAUAGGACAAUUACGGCAACCGGUGUCGGGUUGCGGCUCAUCUGGGGUGGCUGUGUGUUGAGCUGUGCACUCCGUGAGGAGCAAUUGCUGGCGUAGCGCUGCAAGUGCGACGGUGCUCAUGCAUGCCCGUGCCGACUGUAAUUCCAUGAGGCGAGUUCCCGAUUGGCCUUCCACGGUGGCCUCCCGAAACCGGAGGGUCCGUGGGUUAGCCGUGAGCCUGGCGCCUAUGGCGAGUGGUCACGUGGCCCCAUCCCUGCCUGUAACUGUAAGCGAACAGUAACGACACAGUUCCUUACAAUGCUUGUGUUGUUCUCGAGCUCUCGAGUAAUCAUGUGUUGUUUUAUGCCCACAUAACGCGUGGCGACACCUGUCGCACGGUUUUUUUUUGACGCCACCGAUGAUUAAUUAGCGUGGCAGGCUUCGCCUGCUUUAACAUCACCACAUGCCGGUCAGUCCACUUGCAUCCAAUACUUUUUUCAGACGCGGGAGCACAUCUCAACACUGGGCCCCGAAAACCGCGGUGCGUGAUGGUAAAAACUGCAACCAAAAGGUAUGCCGAAAUUCCCAACAAACACAACAACAACAACAACAAAAUUACAGGUAGUUUGCAUGCGUGUCCACCGUGCGCCGCCACAUCGCCGCGUCGCAUGCAUACUUAUGUGAAAGCCGCAAACCCACUGGUGGUGCACUCCUGAUUGCCGCUAGUCAGUGGCGCACCGUGUGACCGAUGCGCAAGCACCCAACCUGUGGAAAGAUGGCCGGCUCCUUGCUCUCUGACGCAGAUAGUACACCAAGCACACCUGCAAACUUCGCAUUCCUAGGCCUGGGAUAAGUAACAUGCUCCAGGCCCAGGUAGCGGCCCGGCGUUCAUUCCACAUCCGCCUGAACCAAACUAUGUCAAAUGCCGCGCUCCACGCGUGAGACGCGAUGCGUGUGAAUGUGCGUACCGUCUCCGUAUCCCCGUCAAAAUUGCCGCGUUCCAACUCGGCACCCAAGGCCUCUGCCGCAAUUCUGUCCCGGGAAAACCGUUGUGAUGCCAAAACUCGUAUGCCGUGGAGCUGCCCCACACGGCCCAGUUGCCAGUCCCACUCCGCAAAUGCCAAUGCCCGUCACUUGCCUGCGUCUUCUCGGCGAGUCAGUCUUACCUACGCGCAACACCUCGCUACCGCUGCACACGACGACAUUCCUACGCAACCACACACGCACGCACACAUAUGCGCACAGCCGCCCCUCAUCCACAAUUCCCUCUGACUUCCCACUCCUGGAGUCCGUGCCGAUGAGCGGUUCUCCGCAGUCUGUGACGACAUCUCCUCUUGCACACACCAUGUACGUACGAGAAUCAAUCCCUUGCGCCUGGGCUCACCGUCACAGCCUACAGUCCCAAAUAGACUGUCGACCACCUACUCUUUAUUUGGAUUGUUUUGCCACCGGCAGCGCCCUCCCACUCUCGUCAAAAGAAAUAAUGGAGCUACAGCAAACCGACCAGGUGCCGCACCCAAUUAGACACACACGAAAACAUGCGGGGCACGAGAAAGCAUGUGCCGUUUAUGACGAGAUGGCGACCACCGGGGAACGGCCGCAGCCACACGCGCACACGCAUUCACGGCAUCGCAAAGCGAUACCGUAUUUAUUAUUUGAACAUGUUCACACCCACGCAUCCAGACUGAGGUCCACAAAAUCCACGCGCAUGCACGGGUAUCAGACGCACCGAGAAAACACAUGCGCAAAUUGACCUUGUUCCGCCUCCGCCCAUACAGCAUCUGCUCACAUGGCAUGCGCUGCACCACCGAGCAGCACGCCCCGGCACAACCUCAAGCAUAUACUGCAAGUGCGGUAAACCCGACCUUGAGUCUGUGACCAUACCUUUUCCACCCGAGUCCGCACUUUCUCCCGUCGCCAACAGAGUCUUACUCACACAAAGCUCUUUAUGACUUCACGAACACAGUAUGACGUUGUUUCGCCCUCGCCGCUUUCAGCACUUGGUUUGCACAACCGCACCGUCAUGCUCCGCGCUCUCAGUCAUAUGUCCCGGCCUCUCGGAUCCUGCCGCUCUCCCUCGCCAGUACCCGGUCCCCUCACGCUCACGCGCGGCAUCCGCUGCUCAACGCGCAAAUCUUAUCGUGCAAGUAUUAAAUCCCCAUACGGUAUAUGCUUUCGCUCUGUACAGAGCGGCUAGCCUCAGUCACGCGCUGCUGCGGGCCCUGCCUGCCUUUGGUGCGCAGCAACAAGCACCCCUUGCAAAGGUGCACCGCGUUGGCGCUAGCUUAGAACACACGGCUUUCGCGCUUUGCCUAAUAUUGUAUCGAUACCUCAACAUUCUCUCUAACCACCACCUUUCCUCACCUCUCGCCCCGUUGUUACCAAGGGCCUCAAAUUCAUGCCCAACGCUGCUCUCCCUCUGGUGUAAUGCAGGGCCCUAGCGUCCUUUUUUAUGUGCCAAACCUUGAUUUUUGAUUGUCGCCAGCACCGGCACUCACUGAGCAACAGCAGGAGCUCCGCACAGGUGAUAGACGGGCAAGAUUGGAUCCUAGUGAACCCCUUAGCCCUCCACACCAUCAGAUAAUGAAACGCUUGCGCACAUGUGACAUCCAAAUCAUACGGUAUCCUUAAUCCGGCGACUCCGGAACCUUCCGUGCGCACCGCAUCCCGCUGCUGCGGAGGCCCUGCUGCUCUCGUCGCACUGAUGAAGUGAUCAAUGUUGCAACUAGCGCGACCUCGAAUCAAACCGUAUGCCAGCCACACCUUCGGCAAAAAAAAUUUAUUGUAUUUGUGCGUGCACGGGCCCGUUUCCACACAGCGCUUUAACUUGAGACAGCCGCCUUUAGUUUACCCCCCCCUCUUCUUGACGUCUAUGGGAGGCAUUAUCCUCCUCAUCCGCUCUCGUAUCCUCUUCGAAGUCAACAGGACGCCCGCGGUUCGCGGUCAGUCCAAGCCUUUCUUCGCCACUGCAAAUCUUCUCCUUUCUGAGCGACAUAAGAUAUUCAGUGCGCAUUUGCCACACACUCGUGCACUUCAGCAUUCGCGCCAACUCCAUGCGCGCACACACACACUGCAAUCCAUUGCAAAUGCUCCCGACCUUGUCCAGCUGCAUAAACGAACCCGCAAAUGUCAAUACCCGGCCGGUGCUUUGCCCGGAUUCUCAGUGACGUGCAAGUGCAAACGUCUCUUUCCUCUCACCAACCAUCACCAUCGGUGAUCUUUUCGGUCCUUCAUACAGACUAACGACUGCAUCAACCGACAAACAAUCAGGAAGCACUCAACAAGGUUUACCUUCCCGCCUCAACCCGCCUUCUUUUUACCAUAACCAAGUAGCCGCAGCAAACACCACAAACACAUACACAACGCUUGAUCCCAUGACCAUGCCACAUCAGCAUUGUUGGUCGGAUACACGCGGUGCGUCUUCGCUUCACGCGUGCUCUUGGGUUCACAUGAGAGGAUCUUAUAAAAGCAGCGGAGUGGCCUUGCGGGGCCGGGAAUCCCCAGCGCUGGAGGCCCGAAAUAAUGCAGGCCGCAAAAUGCACUGGUGUUGGCCCCCGAAUAAAAGCCACGCCCGCCCAUAAGAAAGCAACCGGGCGAGGCACACCCUCGCCCGGAGCGCCUGUGACGCCCCCGGCACAUGAGCAGUGGGGGCGUCUGACUGACAAAGCCAGCCGCGCGCUUCGAAAGCAACAUGCGGCUGCUGUUGACUGGAUGCGAACAGCCACGUAGUAUUAGUGAGCACGAGAUGUGUCAUCCACACUACACUGGCCAGACCAAAACAGCACGUAUGCCUGAAUGGCCCCUGCCGAGAGGGACAGUGUACUGUGCCAGUGGCGUAGAUGCUAGCGUCCCAACAGCUGUCAGCAAAAACGCCCACCCUACCGCAGGCGACAGCAGGCACGGCCACGGGCCGCUUCCGGAGCGUGCCGGAAAUACGUGAAGAGGAACCGGGAUCAUGCGUACUAGCAGGGAUUCUCCAAACCAACAAAGCAACCAACAUAGAUCAGUGCUCACUGACUCGUCCUGCAAAUGUCGCCGCGCUCUCCUCCCAAUCCGCCAAGCUCGCUUUAGAGCUGCCCCCCUCCUCGCCGUGGCGUGGGCCGCAGCCACGUGGCUACGCCGCCCGACGCCGCCCGGCUCUUUCCGUUAUUCAGCGUUGUUGGCCCGCACGUCAUCAUGUUGUGUUCGUCCCUUGUGCGAAAGGGCAACGUGUGCGUUCCAUGAGCGCUGGCAGGUGCCUCGCCCCGCGCAGCUUCAGCCACACGUCCGUGGCGUGGCGUUUAAAGGCAUAGCCCUAGUACGCGGGCAGCGCACCGCUGUGCUUGAGCGUCUGAAGGGGCAAAAAGGGCCGGUUGCAGAGGGCACGUGGUUAAAGCGCAUGAGCGAAUGUGAUACGCAGCGCGCGCCGCAGCGGGGGUACAGGACAUAGACGCAUGACGUACUCGUGGGUACCCAUAAUCAACGAACGGGGCCAGCGCGGCCCGGGCACGACUCGCAACGCAAGCCAAACGCGCUGUUUUCUUUGUCCAACUGCCCCCUCCCCUCCCAAAAACACUCGCCACGCACCUGCGAAAUGAUGUCCACCAGGCUGGCGCUCUUCUUGAGCGACAGCCCAAUCGGCGGCAUCGUGCCACGCUCGCCCUCCGCACCGCCCAUGCCUGCAAACAGCUCGGCCUUGCUCAGGCCCGGCCCGCUGCCGGCACCGCCGCUCGACGGCACCGCUGGCGGCCGUGCCGGCGGCGGCGGCAUGAGGCCUGCGGCGUUAGCCGCCAUGCCCAUGCCCAUGCCGCUCAGCACGUCCAUGGAAGCGCCAACAGGCAUUCCGCCGCCGCCGCCGCCGCCCAUGCCCAUGCCCAUCCCAGUCAUGGUGGUGGCGCCGCUGCCCAGGCUUAUGCAGCCGCCGCUGAUGGCGGGCAGCGGCGCCGAGUCAGCGCGCUUCAUGCACAGCGCGCCGCCGCCGGCGACGACCGCCGCCGCGGCAGCGGCGCCCAUGCUGGGCAGCGUCAUGCAGGACGCGCUGCCGUGCAUGCCGUGCCCGUGCUGGUGCGAGCCGUGGUGGUGCGGCGGCGGCAUGCUGGCGCCGGCGCCUGCGGCGCCAGCGGCGCCGCCGCUGCCGUUGGUGGCGGUGAGCGCGGCGCCGAGCGGGCCGCUGGGGCAGCCGCCCAUGGACAUAGAUGACACGGAGGGGGAGGGGCUGGCGCCACCGCCCAUCAUCAUGCUGAAAAAGGCUGCCGGCGGCGGCAUGGGACCCAUGGGACCCAUGGGCCAGCCCAUGGGCAUUGAGGCCAUGAGGCCACUCAUGCCGGCAGGCGCCUUUGGGGAGAUCUGAAGGGGGUUGGUGGGAAGGCCCCAGGCGAUGCCCGGGAUGUUGCUGGGCAGCGCCGGCAUCUGGCCGGCCGGGUAGCCCAUGGCCGGCUUGGGCGCGCCGCUGCUGCCGGCGGAGCCGCCGCCGCCGCCGCCGACGGCGCCCACAGAGGCGGUGGUGGUGGCGGCGGCACCGCUGCCCCCGCUCCCGCCGCUGGUGCCCGCGGCGGCGCCGCUGCCGCUGCCCGCGGCGGCGCCGGGCAGGUUGGCGUUGCCGGGCAUGGACAGCCGGCUGGCCUUGUAUUUCAGCGCGUGCGGGCGGCCGCACUUGAGGUGCGGGCUGUCACCGCUGACGCAGGGGCCAGCGGCGCCGGGGAUGUCAGCGUGCAUGGUGGAGUCGGCUGCGCUGGCGCGGGCCAUUCCAGCCGUGAGGGCCUCCAUGCAAUCCAUGCUCGAUGUCUCCAUGUCCGCAUCGCAGUCCAUGAGCGCCGCCUUCACUUGCGCCUGGUCGCUAGUGCUGGCGUGGCUGCCAGACUCGCCGCCGCAGAAGCCCGCCGAGUGUGCGGCAUGGCCCUGCGAGCUCGAGUCCUCGGGCGAGGCCGUCGCAGAGCCAGCCGCGUUGUUGUUAGCUGCCUCGCGCACAGUGUGCGCGGCCGCCUUCUUCUCCGCCUUGGCGCUCGCUGACAACAUCCGACGCACUGUGGAUAUGAUACACGCACACAGCAACGUGAGUUGCAAUGCGAGAGCGCGGCUUCGGGAAGAUCGACACGAAAAUGCCGGUUCGACGCCGGUUCGCCACUCGCACGCCGAAACCCGCAACAAAGCUUCCAUGAUGUAUAAAUUCAGGAACUUUAUCAUAUGGCAAACUGCUGGCUGGAGAGGAGCGCUCUCAGCAAAUGUUUCUGCGCUCGGUCGGGCCUCGCCCAACUGCCAGGUCGCCGGGCCCCGGCUAGCGCUACAAGCCGCACGAGCCCCGACGCCACUCACCGAGGUGCUGCCAGAUGUUCUUGAGCUUGAGGGGCGACAGCGGCUUCUCCAGGAAGUCAACAGCGCCAAGCUUGAUUCCCAACAUGACUUCGUUGGGGGCGCCGCUCUCAGACAUAAGCACAAGCGGGAUUGACUUGGCUGCCUGCACGACCGCCUUGUGCUCCGCUGACUGCUGCUGCAUGCAGCGCACGUCGGCCAGCAGCAAGUCGAAGUGCUUGUCCGCAUCCUGCAAGUGGGCUGCGGCCUCAAAGCUGCAGCUGCAAGGUGUAACGGCAUAAUUGUUCUCCUUCAGCUGAGCCUCCACCUCCUGUCGCGCCUUGAAGUCCGGGUCCAGCAGCAAAACUGAGAGGUCGCUCGGGAAAUUCGGUCGGUUUGCGAGGCCCGGCAGCUGCGCCCGCAGGCUGGACAGGUCCAGAGCCAUGCUGCAUGUAUGAGUCCGUGUUGAGAGGGUGCGGGCGGGGCUCCGUAAAAAGGUACCAGAAGAAGAACAAGUGCAAGUGCACCCCGCUUCAAACCUGGAUUUGAACGUCUGUAUGCAUAUGUGGUCUAUAUCUAUAAGGCAACAUGCUGUUCACAGCGCUCGUCUUCCCGGGUAUACAGUGUUCAAGGUGCACUUGCGUCGUUUGCUUGCUGCAAGCUAUCCACGCGGCCGCCUUGCUACACCAUAUUGGUACUAAGCAGACUCAAUUCCGCCCUAGAGGCUGAAGUGUCCGGCAAAAGCUGAGCGUAUCCUCCAAGCGUAUCCUCUCCUAAGCCCUCCGGUAACGUUGUCGCUGGUUAGACAUCCAGAUUAUGGCUCACCUUUCACUUGAGGGCAGGAGAAAGGCGUAGGCCGGGAAAAACAAAGGAAAUCAGCGCAGCGACCGCUGCGGUCUACUCGCUCCUAUCACGGUCGCUUCAGUCUCAGUAUGUAUAGAACCUUACCAGCUUCAGCCAGCAAUGAUUUGCGCUGCUCGCGGAGUUGUAUUCAGAAGACUGCCACCGGCCCUGCCUCAAGGUGUUGUAUAAGGCCCACUCGACACAAAGUAUUCUAAGUAUACGUUACCACAUCAUUGGAGCAUUCAGUCAGUAAGAGCCGGUUGCGCAGUUGAAGAAACCUCGGGGCACCGCGCAUGGCCCCAAUUGGCGACAGAGCUCACCCGACGGGACAGAGCUCACCCCUCACACGGGCGAAGUCUCUACCGUUGUAUAGUUCAAUUCACUUGAUCUACUAGGCUGGAAAACUUCGAAAAUGAGUGUUGCGACCUGAAAGUCGACGCACGCUUGCACUGGGAAAUGUCGCGCCUGGCGCAGCUGCUGCCUGGCUACGCAUGCAACACGUUUGAUUACGCAAACAGGUGUGUACCAUGUCCACCAUGGACCGGCGGGAUGGACUUAACCUGCCUCUGACGCGGUGUCCCAGGCACGGCACUGCGGUGCGGUUGAGCGCUCCGGUGCGCACGCGCGUGGCUGCCCGAACUUGCUGUCGGCCUGGGUGCCACUUCUGCUAAUUGUGCAUGUCAACGAGGGCGUGCG
rnacentral:lncRNA from 1 species